rnacentral:rRNA from 1 species
UACGUACGAGGCGAGCGUUAUCCGGAAUUAUUGGGCGUAAAGCGCGCGCAGGCGGUUUCUUAAGUGAGACGUGAAAUCUCCCGGCCUAACUGGGAGGGGUCGUUUCAGACUGGGAGACUUGAGGACGGCAGAGGUUGGUGGAAUUCCGGGUGGAGUGGUGAAAUGCGUAGAGAUCCGGAGGAACACCAAAGGCGAAGGCAGUGUCCUGGGGAGUACCUGACGCUCAGGUGCGAAAGCCAGGGGAGCGAACGGG